CGGUUUGUUAAGUCAGAUGUGAAAGCCCGGGGCUCAACCUCGGAACCGCAUUUGAAACUGGCAGGCUAGAGUCUUGUAGAGGGGGGUAGAAUUUCAGGUGUAGCGGUGAAAUGCGUAGAGAUCUGAAGGAAUACCAGUGGCGAAGGCGGCCCCCUGGACAAAGACUGACGCUCAGAUGCGAAAGCGUGGGUAGCAAACAGGAUUAGAUACCCUGGUAGUCCACGCCGUAAACGCUGUCUACUUGGAGGUUGAGGUUUAGACUUUGGCUUUCGGUGCUAACGCAUUAAGUAGACCGCCUGGGGAGUACGGCCGCAAGGUUAAAACUCAAAUGAAUUGACGGGGGCCCGCACAAGCGGUGGAGCAUGUGGUUUAAUUCGAUGCAACGCGAAGAACCUUACCUACUCUUGACAUCCAGUGAACUUUCCAGAGAUGGAUUGGUGCCUUCGGGAACACUGAGACAGGUGCUGCAUGGCUGUCGUCAGCUCGUGUUGUGAAAUGUUGGGUUAAGUCCCGCAACGAGCGCAACCCUUAUCCUUGUUUGCCAGCACGUAAUGGUGGGAACUCCAGGGAGACUGCCGGUGAUAAACCGGAGGAAGGUGGGGACGACGUCAAGUCAUCAUGGCCCUUACGAGUAGGGCUACACACGUGCUACAAUGGCAGAUACAGAGGGCAGCGAAGCUGCGAAGUGGAGCGAAUCCCUUAAAGUUUGUCGUAGUCCGGAUUGGAGUCUGC
rnacentral:rRNA from 1 species